GCCGGGUAUGGUGGCUCAUGCCUGUAGUCCCAGCUACUAGGGAGGCUGAGGUAGGAGAAUCAUCUGAGCCCAGGAGUUUAAGGCUGCAGUGAACUAUGAUCACAUCACUGCGCUCCAGCAUGGGCAACAGAGGGAGACCCUGUCUCUU
ensembl:misc_RNA Metazoa_SRP Metazoan signal recognition particle RNA